rnacentral:rRNA from 1 species
GUGAUCAUCGAAUCUUUGAACGCACCUUGCGCUCCUUGGUAUUCCUCGGAGCAUGCCUGUUUGAGUAUCAUGAAAUUCUCAAAAUAAAUCUUUCGUUCAUUCGAUUGGUUUCAUUUUGGACUUGGAGGUCUGCAGAUUCACGUCUGCUCCUCUUAAAUAUAUUAGCUGGAUCUCCGUAAGCUCGGUUCCACUCGGCGUGAUAAGUAUCACUCGCUGAGGACACUGUAAAAGGUGGCCGGGAAUGCAGACGAACCGCUUCUAAUCGUCUAUUGACUUAGACAAUUAACUUUAUGAUCUGAUCUCAAAUCAGGUAGGACUACCCGCUGAACUUAAGCAUAUCAAUAAGCGGAGG